rnacentral:lncRNA from 1 species
AUAGCUCAUAUUUCAUGCCAUUUUAAGCACUCAUCAGUAAAGAAAUUCAGAAAAAAAUCUGAUGCUCUCGUGUUAGUCAUUUUAAUAUCAAAUACGAAGGAAUUUGGUUCAACAUAGAACUUCCUCAUCACCACAAGCUAAGGUAGGAUCCCCUAUGCGAAGUCUUCGUUACAUGAAUUUAAUUUUCAAUUUAGCGUGUUAUUCGUUAUAUUUGUACGAGGCAUAUAAAGUGCCUUUAGAUUUCUCUUUUAAAUUUUGAUGAUGAAAGGUUAUAUAUGUUAAACUGAUAGUCAGAAAGGCUCAUCAGAAUCGUAAGUAUAUACGUUAAACUAAUGGUCACAGAGGCUCAUCAGAUUCUUGAGUAGAUCGUUUGAUCACCAAUUUACUUAUUUAUGACGAGAACAUGUAAGAAUGCAUGACUAAAUAUAUGAUUAUUAUGUUCAUGUAGCAUAUGUAGCCUACUGAGUAUUUCUUGAGAUACUCACUCCUAUUUAACUCUUUUCAGAAUAAUCGGAGAUCCGACAGUGGAUUGGCAUGAAUGGCACGUACUAUUUUUAGUGAAAUUUAUUCUUAUGCUUUAGUUUGCCACUUUUAUGUUUAAUAAUCAUUGUUAUCCUGGAGACCGUAGUUUGAAUUCGUGUUUUGAG